rnacentral:rRNA from 1 species
GACAGAGGGGGCAAGCGUUGUUCGGAAUUACUGGGCGUAAAGGGCGCGUAGGCGGCCGUUUGCGUCGGAUGUGAAAGCCCGGGGCUCAACCUCGGAACGGCAUUCGAUACGGGACGGCUGGAGACCGGGAGAGGAGAGUGGAAUAGCCAGUGUAGAGGUGAAAUUCGUAGAUAUUGGCUGGAACACCGGUGGCGAAAGCGGCUCUCUGGCCCGGUUCUGACGCUGAGGCGCGAAAGCGUGGGGAGCAAACAGG